CUGAGUUCUGGAAAGUAGUGGUGUGUGAACAUUACUUUUCCUGGAAUCUCAAUUCAGUUUUCUUCUGCAUCCUGUUCACAGUACGAGUUGUGUCUGAUGAAGAAAUAAAUCGCCAUUGCAAAUGAUGUCAGAUUCACAGCCAGAAGUUGGUAUUUGAUUCGUAGUGAACGGGCUUCUACAUUGUCAGGCGGACUCCGUCUCAUACUUCUAAGCAGACUGUGACACCACCCAUGUGGAGGUGGACACCAUCCUUUCAA